GCUCGGUGUCGAUCGACAGGA
rnacentral:siRNA from 1 species